UGCUGUUUGCUCGCGUGCGCGCGCGUGCGCGUGGAAGAGCGAUUUCAAAUCAAAUACAAAGAAGUAACGGCUCCUUUCCUCAAAGAAAGAAACAACUGCUGCGCAAGGUGAGUAAAGGCUCCGAUAUAAAUAUACAGAUUUAUUAUUUGUAUACUGAUUCAUACACUGACACAUUAAACUGUAUGUUUUUUUUUAAUUAAAAUGUUUUGUUUUAACCAUUAAUUUAAUAGCUGCGAUGCUUACGAGUCUAAUGCACUUGUGGGACGAAAUGGAGACUAACGUUACAAACACAAGAAAAUCCAGUAUGACUUCUCUAAAAAUCUCAAAGGAUUCACAGAGCAGCACUAUCAGUUAA
rnacentral:lncRNA from 1 species